AUGGAAGAGGACAAGAAGCAGAGAGGAAGGCAGGGCCACCCCCUCCUGCGGGGAGGAGGCGCGAGGACGGAGCCCUACACGCACGGCUUCUCCGCCACCCAGAUGAUGUCGCUCACCGCCGUCUGCGGCGCGCUGGUCCCGUCGCUGCCGCCCGACGCCCACCACCUGGCCGCUGACAAGGCCGUCCGGGACUUCUUCCUCGCAUCCGCCGCCGACCCGCCCGUUCCGGACGAGGUGGCGCAGCUGAUGUCGGCAAUGUGUCUCCGGGAGGCGCUGACGCUGGUGCGGACGGUGCUGUGGCUGCUGGGCACGCGGCUGGGGACGCUCGCGCUGUGCGGCGCCCGGUGCCUGUCGUGGAGCUCCCCGUUCGUGCAGCGGUUCGCGGAGAUGCCGGUGGACCGGCGGGAGGACGCGCUGCGCCGGUGGAGCCGGGAGACCAUGCUCCCGCCUCUGCGCCUCUUCUUCCUCCUCGUCAAGGUCUUCUGCCUCUACGUCUUCUACUCCUGGACCGACGAGAACUCGGAGAAUCCUCACUGGCGAGCAAUCGGCUACAGCCCGGCAACGGACGAGGCUACGGAGCAAGAGGAACAAGCAAACACCAAGCGGCCACUCGACGACGGCGUGGUCGAGACCAUCCACCAGACGGACGCGUCCCUCCCGACUAGCCUCGCCGAAAAGGGCCUCGCGGUGACCGAGGACGCGUCGCGUAACGUGUGCAGGAUCGAGUGCGAUGUCGUCAUCGUCGGCUCCGGCUGCGGCGGGGGCGUGGCCGCCGCGGUGCUCGCAGGGGCCGGCCACAAGGUGGUGGUCAUCGAGAAGGGGAACUACUUCACGGCCAGGGACUACACGUCCAUCGAGGGCCCGUCGAUGAGCCAGCUCUACGAGUACGGCGGGUUCGUGAGCACGAUCAGCGGCAGCGGGCUCCUCCUGGCCGGCUCCACGGUCGGCGGCGGCUCAGCCGUCAACUGGUCGGCCUGCAUCAAGACACCCGACAGCGUGCGCAAGGAGUGGGCGGCCGCGCACGGCCUGCCGCUGUUCGACAAGUCAGAGUACGCCGCCGCGAUGGACGCGGUGUUCAAGCGGCUUGGCGUGACGUCGGGCUGCAAGGAGGAGGGGCUCCAGAACAAGGUCCUGCGCAAGGGGUGCGAGAAGCUGGGGUACAAGGUCGAGCCGGUGGCGAGGAACUCGUCGGAGGGCCACUACUGCGGCAGCUGCGGGUACGGCUGCCGCACCGGGGACAAGCGCGGCACGGACACGACGUGGCUGGUCGACGCGGUGGCCCGCGGCGCCGUGAUCCUGACGGGUUGCAAGGCGGAGAAGCUGCUGUUCACUGACGCGGCCGGUGCGAGGGGGAAGCGGUGUGUCGGUGUGGUGGCUACCAGCUCCAACCCGGCGAUCACGAGGAAGCUGGAGGUGCGCGCCAAGGUGACCGUCGCAGCGGGCGGCUCCCUCCUCACGCCGGUGCUGCUGCGCGGCAGCGGGCUCAAGAACCCGCACAUCGGCAAGAACCUCCACCUCCACCCGACCGCCAUGGCGUGGGGCUACUUCCCGCCGGGCAAGAUGCCGGAGCUGAAGGGCAAGAUGUACGAGGGCGGCAUCAUCACGUCCCUGCACAAGGUGGAGGCUGCCGGCGGCGACGGGCUGCCGCACCGGGCCAUCCUGGAGACGCCGCUGAUGGGCGUGGCCGCCGCGGGGACGCAGUUCCCCUGGGUGUCCGGGCGCGACAUGAAGGAGCGGAUGCUCAACUACGGGCGGACGGUGCACAUCUUCUCCCUGGUGAGGGACCGCGGGUCGGGGACGGUGCACGGCGAGCGGCGGAUCGCGUACCACCUGGACCCGGUGGACAGGGAGAACCAGCGCGAGGGGCUGCGGAGGGCGCUGCGCAUCCUGGUGGCGGCCGGCGCGACGGAGGUGGGCACGCACCGGAGCGACGGGCAGAGGCUGAGGUGCAAGGGCGCGACGGAGGAGGAGGUGGAGGAGUUCCUGGACGGCGUGACCGGGGUGCGCGGGCCGCAGUCCAAGAGCGAGAACUGGAGCCUGUGCUGCACGGCGCACCAGAUGGGCAGCUGCAGGAUGGGCGCGACGGCCGGGGACGGCGCCGUGGACGCGCGCGGCGAGAGCUGGGAGGCGGAGCGGCUGUACGUGUGCGACGGCAGCGUCCUGCCCAGCGCGGUGGGCGUCAACCCCAUGAUCACCAUACAGUCCGUGGCCUACUGCCUCGCCACCGGCAUCGCGGAGCAGCUGAAACGCGACCCGUCCUCCGGGAGAAACCACUCCACAGAUUAA
rnacentral:rRNA from 1 species